GGAUGGGUGGCCGAGAGGUUUAAGGCAGCGGUUUACUAAACCGCCGUUCUGUAAAAAGAACCGUGGGUUCGAAUCCCACCCCAUCCG
rnacentral:tRNA from 1 species